rnacentral:tRNA from 1 species
GUCCCCAUAGUCUAUCGGUUAGGACGCGGCCCUUUCAAGGCUGAGAGACGAGUUCGAUUCUCGUUGGGGGCA